CAGCAGCCACGGGAAUACGUAGGUGGCAAGCGUUGUCCGGAAUCAUUGGGCGUAAAGCGCGCGCAGGCGGAUAGGUCAGUCUGUCUUAAAAGUUCGGGGCUUAACCCCGUGAUGAGAUGGAAACUGCUGAUCUAGAGUAUCGGAGAGGAAAGUGGAAUUCCUAGUGUAGCGGUGAAAUGCGUAGAUAUUAGGAAGAACACCAGUGGCGAAGGCGACUUUCUGGUCUGUAACUGACGCUGAGGCUCGAAAGCGUGGGGAGCAAACAGGAUCAGAUACCCCCGUAGUCCCUGUCUCUUAUACA
rnacentral:rRNA from 1 species